GCUUGGCAGGACCUCCCCGUCCCCGGAGAGCCGUGCAUUCACUGGAACAGCCUUUGGAGCGGACUCCCUUCUUCAUCCCCCGCACUGGCUCUGCUGGUUUCCAGGGCAGGUUCCAGCUUUGCCACCUGUCUCCUGCUAACUCCAGGCAGCUCUAAAUAUUGACCUGGACCAGUUGGAUGAGCUUCUCUUGAUGGAUGAUUGAUGUCUCCAAAGCAGGAUGAUGGCGAAGGUCUGACUCUCAAAGAGCUAAUGUGAAGUCAGUCUCAUCUUUGUGGCUUUUUUAGCCCGGGUUAGCUCCUGGGCAGCAAAAGAUGGGCCUUUUUCCUUCUGAAGCAUCCAGCCAAAUAUGAGGCCCUGGCUACAGCAAGUUUGGGGUCUUCUGACCCUCAGGCACCCAGCAGUCCCUUGAGCAAAGGGUUGAGUGGUGGCAUGGACAAGACCUAAGGUCCUAAUACUGGGAGAUCCCUCAUGGGGACAGCUGGUUGUUCUCAUGGUACAAUCGCCCAUCCAAAGGUGAUGUCUGUGAUAGAUCUGUGUCCAUAUCCAUGGCUAAGGGGCCUGGAUUCUCGGCACCUGCUCCUGCAGUGCAGCUCAAAUGGGCUCCAAGGAGUCUCCUGCUAUCCUCUGAUCUCCUACCUCCAUGGAUGGAGAACUGAGGCACAGACACUGCAACACGUUCACCCAAAACGCUGCAAGGAAGCCAACGGCAAAGCAAGGACCUCACGGAGCUCAUCCUGGACCCACCUGUCCUCCUCUCCCGCCUACAGUCCCGCCGGAGGUGUGCAGAGCCACCGGGGUCUCCGCGGCGCGAGAGGGACACUGGGCCGGCCAGCGUGGAGACGCAGCAAGGUGACACCAUGCAACCUGCCCUUGCGCCAGGGUCGGCAUGAAGUUGCCCAUCACCUCCUCCUCCUSGAGCCGCGCCGCACAGUAGCGGCUCUGAACCGCCGUCCAGUCAAGCACAGGAAAAGCCGCCUCCAGCCUCCAAAGCCCUUUUGCUUAUCAACCGCUUUCCAAAAGCGACUUCCCCUCCGUGCUUUUAUUGACCGACCAACUGCCAGCGCCGCUGAUGGACGCACAAAAUUAAUAGGACCUGCUCGUGGGGGGAAAAAAAGCCCGUCUGGGACAAAAAUGCCCUUUGUAGGCUGCAGUGAGCUGCUGCGUGUUGCGAUUGGCAUCCGUAUUGUUGGGGUGACAACUCAAGAGAGCCGGUGCCACCCCAAAUCCCGCUUGGCUGUUGAGGAGCCGGUGCCGGAUGAGCUCGGGGCCGGGCAGGAUUUGGCUGCGGCAGGUCCAGCGCCAGGUUUCGCCCUUCGCCCGGCGCUUGUCCCUGCUCCAGGUGUCGGGGAUGGGAUGGGGACACCCGAGGUGCCGCUGCUUCCUCGCUGCCUCCACCGCAGGUACCGCGGCGCCUUCGCCGCGCCGAGGGCCUCCGGGGUGGGAAUUAAAGCAAAAUACGUUAAAACUGAGCGAAGCAACCAAAACGCUGUUGCAAAAUGGCCCCGUCGUGGCAAGCGAGCCCCUCCGCCUCCCCGCGGGCCUCCGUUGGCUCUCGGGUCACCCAAGCGCCAGCGAGCUUGCGGCACCCCGUGUCCCCGGGCAGCGGCCACAGGGUGACAUGCGGUGGGGUGACACGGGGUGACGUGAUGUGGGGUGACAUCGGGCACCAUGCUGUGGCAGUGGGUCCCAUGCGGCGGCAUCAGCCCGGGGUCCCGCAGGGCCGUGCACGGUGUCACCCCACCGUGACUCAGUUUCCCCUCUUGGUCCCGGCAGCUUUGGGCCAGGGCUUUUGCCGGGGGGGGGGGGAGAGGCCUCUAGAUGUCACUGUCCCCCCGUGAACGCCACCACGGUGCAACCGCUAAAAAAUUCAGGGUGGUGGCGGGGAAGCGGAGGGGACAAGGGGACCCAACACGGAGCCCCGAGCGGCGGCGGCUCUGCGCCCGUCCCCACGCGCCGACGGUGCCGGGGUGACGCCGCUGCACCCCCCCGAGCCGAUGGCGAUGCCUCCUGCCCGCGGCCUUCGCCCGGCCCCGAUCCCCCCCUUCCCCGCGGGCCGCGGCGCCGGCACGAAAAAACAGGGGCCGGGCGCUGCCAGCGCAGCCCGGUCUCCGUUCAAGCCGCGGGACCCUCGGGCCGGGGCCCCGCACGCGCUUAAAGAAACGCUUAUUAUUUCUUUUUUUUUCAUUUUUUCUUUUUUUUUUU
ensembl:lncRNA